rnacentral:ncRNA from 1 species
AAAAUAGCGAUGAAGAGAAGAGUAAUUAUGAUUAAUUAUUUCCAGAGAGCUCCUAUUGGUGAGAAGGAGUAUUAAUUAUGCUAGUGAAAAAAGGCUCGGAGCUUCGCACGGAUCUAAGACAUAAUCUUAGUGAUAAUGCGACGGGAUCUCCCGUUAUAGAGAUAGGGUAUAAUCAAUGUGUUAAUUGCCGUACCCGAAAAGGUUGAUAUGGUGACAUAUCAAUAAACUGGGGUGGUACCACGAAGCUAAUAACUCUCGUCCUCAAG